rnacentral:rRNA from 1 species
UACGUAGGGUGCGAGCGUUAAUCGGAAUCACUAGGCGUAAAGCGCAGGUAGGAGGUUUGAUAAGUCUGUUGUGAAAGCUCCCGGCUUAACUGGGAGAGGUCAACGGAAACUAUCAGGCUAGAGUGCGGUAGAGGUAGCUGGAAUUCCCGGUGUAGCGGUGAAAUGCGUAGAUAUCGUCAGGAACACCGAUAGUGAAGACAGCUUACUAGGCUUAUACUGACGCUGAGGCACGAAAGUGUGGGGAUCAAACAGG